AUUUAAGUAGUUUAAAUAAAAUAUUAAUUUGUGGGAUUAAUGAUAUUUUGAAUAUAAGUAAAAGUCUUAAAUU
rnacentral:tRNA from 1 species